rnacentral:rRNA from 1 species
UAGGGAAUAUUGGUAAUGUGCGAAAGCGCGAACCAGCAACGCCGCGUGCACGAUGAAGGCCUUCGGGUCGUAAAGUGCUUUUAGAGAGGAUGAGGAAGGACAGUACUUUCUGAAUAAGCCUCGGCUAACUACGUGCCAGCAGCCGCGGUAAAACGUAGGAGGCUAGCGUUAUCCGGAUUUACUGGGCGUAAAGCGCAUGCAGGUGGUUUUGUAAGUUGGAUGUGAAAGCUCCUGGCUUAACUGGGAGAGGUCGUUCAAAACUACAAGACGUGAGAUUUGUAGAGGAAAAUGGAAUUCCGGGUGUAGUGGUGAAAUGCGUAGAUAUCCGGAGGAACACCAGUGGCGAAAGCGGUUUUCUGGACCAAUUCUGACACUCAGAUGCGAAAGCUAAGGUAGCAAACG